UACAGAGGGGGCAAGCGUUAUUCGGAAUUAUUGGGCGUAAAGGGCGCGUAGGCGGCUUGGCAAGUGGAUGGUGAAAUCCCUCGGCUUAACCGAGGAACUGCCGUCCAAACUGCUUCGCUUGAGACCGGGAGAGGUGAGUGGAAUUCCCAGUGUAGCGGUGAAAUGCGUAGAUAUUGGGAGGAACACCAGUGGCGAAGGCGGCUCACUGGACCGGUACUGACGCUGAUGCGCGAAAGCGUGGGGAGCGAGUCCGG
rnacentral:rRNA from 1 species